AGGCCAGACUCCUACGGGAGGCAGCAGUGGGGAAUAUUGCGCAAUGGGCGAAAGCCUGACGCAGCGACGCCGCGUGAGGGAUGAAGGUCUUCGGAUCGUAAACCUCUGUCAGGAGGGAAGAAGUGGUUAUAUGCGAAUAGUGUAUGACUUUGACGGUACCUCCAAAGGAAGCACCGGCUAACUCCGUGCCAGCAGCCGCGGUAAUACGGAGGGCGCGAGCGUUAAUCGGAAUUACUGGGCGUAAAGCGCGCGUAGGCUGUUGUGUAAGUUGGGGGUGAAAUCCCACGGCUCAACCGUGGAACAGCCCUUGAUACUGCGCGACUUGAAUCCGGGAGAGGGUGGCGGAAUUCCAGGUGUAGGAGUGAAAUCCGUAGAUAUCUGGAGGAACAUCAGUGGCGAAGGCGGCCACCUGGACCGGUAUUGACGCUGAGGCGCGAAAGCGUGGGGAGCAAGCAGGAUUAGAUACCCCGGUAA
rnacentral:rRNA from 1 species